rnacentral:piRNA from 1 species
UGAAUCAUAUUCGGUGUUUGCCAUGGGA